rnacentral:ncRNA from 1 species
UAUCUUUGCACUCGAAUUGAGAAAAUCUUAAUUCAUACAUAAUAAUCAUUUAAAUAAUAUUAGCAUG